GGGUAUAGCUCAGUGGUAGAGCACGUGCUUAGCAUGCACGAGGUCCUGGGUUCAAUCCCCAGUACAGCCA
rnacentral:tRNA from 1 species